CCUACGGGAGGCAGCAGUAGGGAAUAUUGCUCAAUGGGGGAAACCCUGAAGCAGCAACGCCGCGUGGAGGAUGAAGGUUUUAGGAUUGUAAACUCCUUUUGUGAGAGAAGAUAAUGACGGUAUCUCACGAAUAAGCACCGGCUAACUCCGUGCCAGCAGCCGCGGUAAUACGGAGGGUGCGAGCGUUACUCGGAAUCACUGGGCGUAAAGAGUGCGCAGGCGGGCUUGUAAGUCAGAUGUGAAAUCCUGUAGCUUAACUACAGAACUGCAUUUGAAACUAUGAGUCUAGAGUGUGGGAGAGGUAGGUGGAAUUCUUGGUGUAGGGGUAAAAUGCGUAGAUAUCAAGAGGAAUACUCAGUGCGAAGGCGACCUACUGGAACAUUACUGACGCUCAUGCACGAAAGCGUGGGGAGCAAACAGGAUUAGAUACCCGAGUAGUC
rnacentral:rRNA from 1 species